rnacentral:rRNA from 1 species
UACAGAGGGUGCGAGCGUUGUCCGGAAUCACUGGGCGUAAAGGGCGCGUAGGUGGUGGCUUAAGCGUGCGGUGAAAGCUCGGGGCUCAACCCCGAGUCGGCCGUGCGAACUGGGCUCACUGGAGCAUAGUAGAGGCAGGUGGAAUUCCGGGUGUAGCGGUGGAAUGCGCAGAUAUCAGGAGGAACACCGGUGGCGAAGGCGGUUCUCUGGGCCUUACCUGACGCUGAGGAGCGAAAGCGUGGGGAGCGAACAGG